rnacentral:rRNA from 1 species
AGUGAACGCUGGCGGUAGGCCUAACACAUGCAAGUCGAACGGCAGCACAGGAGAGCUUGCUCUCUGGGUGGCGAGUGGCGGACGGGUGAGGAAUACAUCGGAAUCUACUCUGUCGUGGGGGAUAACGUAGGGAAACUUACGCUAAUACCGCAUACGACCUACGGGUGAAAGCAGGCGACCUUCCGGACUUUCGCGAUUGAAUGAGCCGAUGUCGGAUUAGCUAGUUGGCGGGGUAAAGGCCCACCAAGGCGACGAUCCGUAGCUGGUCUGAGAGGAUGAUCAGCCACACUGGAACUGAGACACGGUCCAGACUCCUACGGGAGGCAGCAGUGGGGAAUAUUGGACAAUGGGCGCAAGCCUGAUCCAGCCAUACCGCGUGGGUGAAGAAGGCCUUCGGGUUGUAAAGCCCUUUUGUUGGGAAAGAAAUCCAGCUGGCUAAUACCCGGUUGGGAUGACGGUACCCAAAGAAUAAGCACCGGCUAACUUCGUGCCAGCCGCCGCAGUAA